ACAAGUACCGUGAGGGAAAGUUGCAAAGCACUUUGAAGAGAGAGUUAAAGAGGACGUGAAACCGAUGAGGUGGAAACGGACAGAGCUGGCGUAUCUGGCCUGUAUUCAGCUGGUGGUUGUCCUCCCGACGAUUCUGUACCCCAUAUUGGAAAGUCGUUGACGGCUCUGGCUGCGGGUGGUUCAUUUGCUUGCGGAGUGGGUCCAUGCACUCAGCCCGGAGGCAUGAAUUCACUUUUCUGGCCAACAUCUUAAGCGGUACGGUACCCUGGCUGGGGGAGUGGUGGUUGGGCUGGGUGUUCACUCGUGACUGUGGUUCUUUGCCAGGGUGGGUGCCGACCUGCUUGUCGGUGGCGGCCGCUUGCUACCCCUGCCAGCAGUCAUUUCUGUCCUGCUCUAGCUCUCAUCUUUGCCCGGCCUCGGUGUAAAAGCUGAACCUCUUUCCCACCCCUAUCCAAACCUGAACCAGGGACUUUGUCUUGUGCGCGAGUCCUUGGGCUUUGGAAAUCCAAAGCCACAAGGAAAAUGAAAGUUUCCGUUGUGGAGCUCAAGUGCGAUCCUGGUCACCAGGGCGGCCGGGCGCAGCGCGGCCCCAUCCUCACUGCCUGCAGUGGGGUGGAGGAAGAACAUACGCGGUGACACCCGAAAAAUGGAGAACUAUUCCUGAUCACGAUAAAGCCAGAAGAAACUCUGAUGGAAGUCCGAAGCCAUUCUGACUUGCAAAUCGAUCAUCUGACUUGGGUAUAGGGGCAAAGGACUAAUCAAACCAUCUACUAUCUGGUUCCUUCCGA
rnacentral:rRNA from 1 species